CAUUUACUCUCUAAGUGGUCUUGAUUUAAGUUUAGAAUUGCCAUAAUAACUCUUAUUUCAUAGAGUUAUCAACAAGUCUUCCAAACCAGCUCAUGUUUGGGAAGAAAGUUCCUCUAGCAACAACACCAAAGCAUUCUGGAGAAGCUAUGAAAUGCCACCAAUACAACCAUGGCCGCUAAUGGCUAUAGGUUGGGAAGAUUCAGAAAGUUCCAUUGGAUCUAACCAAACUGUAGAAUCAUUCCAUUCUUCCAGAAGACCAAUCAUAAUAGAGGGAAGACCUCAUUACCCUGCCAAUCCAACUUAUGUCGACACAAGAAGAAGAUUCACUAGACCAUCUACAUUUGAGACAGGCCAACAUUCAGGAGUAGCAUUGUUAGAUCCUCCAGAAAGAAAACCACAACAGUCUCAACAAGAACAACAACCAGAACAGAUGGGUGAAGAGGACGAACAAGGCCAAGAAUGGGAAAAGAGAGUCUAAAUCUCAUAUUCUCCUCAAGGAAAAUUCUUUUGGAACAUUAAUAAUAUCAAACCAAAAGACAGAAUUGCUUAUGUUGAGCAAAUGAUAGCUUGGUAUGAAAUAAAAUGCCAAAGAGCACCACAACUUACCAGAAGAGCAGCCAUGCAAAGGCUAGUCUCAGGCUUUACUGGAUCACUCAAGCGAUGGUGGAGUAACAUGUUAACACCAGUCCAACGUGAAUACAUGUUGUCACGACCAUAUCCCAGUACUGCGUUAUGGAGACCCUUAUUAUAGAUUUCUUCGGAUUUGGACCUAGAGAGACAUAGUUGGCAGAAAAGCAAUUCCCCCAAAACAAACAAAUGUUGUGAUGUUAGAAAGCGUAAAGAAUAUUACAGUGAACAGGGGCAUCUUUACUAUAUCUUUCUGAAACCCACAGAUGUAGUACACAGAACGUUUGUUUUCAGGCCUUAGUGGAUGAGUUAUAGUCUCGUGAGGGUUUCCAGCGAUGAUACCCACAAACAUCAUCAAAAAUGCCUCAAAGAUUGCAUAAAGUAUAUAGCUCAAAGAAAAUUAAAAAUAUUGGCAAAGUUCUAACUUUAAUUCAGUGGUCAACCUCAUCUCAUAUUGGAUUCUUGUGUUGUGUGUGAAUCAAUUCAAUCAAAACUCAUUCUCAAAAUUUUCAAUAUCAACAACCCUUGUCUUGAAUAAUAAACAGAGUAAGUCAAACUAACCUCAUCAUCUUGAUUUUUUUUUCACAGGCAUAAAUUUGCAUUUUCUUUUGAUUUUUCUUGAAGCACAAGCUUUUUCUUUUCUUUUCAUUUUUUUUUCAUAGUCAGGAGCUUUCACUCCACCCCUUAAGGUAGCUUUCUUCUCAUAGUAGAUUAUACUCUACAUACUAGUGGUACAUAGGCCCAAAUUACUCAAGAAUAGCUUCACUUUUAAGGGUUAUAGGUAGCUAUUUCUGGCUAUGGUGCCUGGGUAAACUUAAGUAAUGUAGAAUCGAGGCAGACAGUCAUUUAUUCACUCUUAAUUGUGAUGCAUAAAUUAGCAAGUGUACUAGUCGGCACAAGUAAUAUAAUGAAGAGUAGAAUAUCGUCCCACAGAGAUUGAAUAUCCUAUUAGUUACCAAAAUUAUUCUAACCCUAAUUUAUUUGAACAAUCGAAUAGGCAAAUUUAGAUUAAAAAUUAAAAUAAAAUAAAAUAACUAAAAAUUAAAUAAAGAUGCAGGCAGUAAUGAAAUCACCAAGAGAUUAAAACACUAGGACAUCUGAUUUCACCAUAACCAAUCCAAUUUAAUCCUCCAUCUAUGCUAUUAAAAUUUACUACCCAUGUUGACAGUGAAUUUUCCUAAUCUAUUCAAUAUCCUCUCUUGAGUAAUAUAAAAAAUAUCUCCACAUAUUAACCCACUAUAUGUCUAUACAAAUUUAAAUAUGCAAAGAUUCAUUAGGCUCCAUGGAAAUUCUUAGAAGAACUGCACGAAUCACGUUGACACAUCUCUGUCUUUCAUUCAAUUCAUAGCAUCCAUUACACAGAGCAAAAAUACAUAAAUCUCCUCUCGGUCUGAUUAUGUAUCCUCAAAUCAUUCAAAUAUUGGCCAGAUAUUUAAAAGCAUUAAGCACAAUAAUGAACACUCAACCAUGGAAUAAUAAAUUAAAAAUAACAUAAAUUUAUGGAAUUAAAUCUUCAUAGUUAGGCUACAUCGUAGCCCUAGUAAAAUAAAUUAGUUCAUGGGAAUAUAAAGCGAAUCCAUUAAUUUAAGUGGGAACAUUCAAGCAAGAUAAUAGAGAAGAGGAAAAGAAAAACUCAAGAAGUUGUCUCUCUCCAAUCUCUGCAAUUGACUUCUCCAAAUUGUUGCUCCUAGAUUUGCAGUGGUGGCUUCUCUUCUCCUUUUAUUUUUUUCUUGCUCUCGGUUUUCUCUCCAAUUUCUACAAUUUGUACGACUGCCUCUGUUUAUUCGAUCCUCAACUUCUUAAAUUGUUCGGCUUCCGAAUCCUUAAAUCAAAAGGAUUUAAAAUGAAACAAACCUAGCCCACUUUUUAAGCCCAUGCACUCUUACCUUGUAAAAUUUAAUUGGCCAAUUUGCAAAGCCAAAGCCCAUCACGUGAAUCAUUCAAAUUGCCAUUUGCCAAUUAAUUCUUUAAUGCUCCGCACGUGCUUGCCAUAUUUGUCAACCAAAAAUUCAAAGCUUCCUGAUUUGGCUCUUUAUUUCUUUCCCUUUUGCUUCCAAAUUAUUUUCAUUAUACUCCAAUUUGUUUCCUAUUUAAGCUUCUUUUCUCAUGAAUAUUCCCAAUAUUCCUACAAUGACAAAAUAUAAAAAUUAAGAUAAAAAUUAAUAUAAUAAAAUAUAAUUUAACAUAAAAUUAAGUUAUGGAAGCAUUAAAAUAAUAGAUAAAUUAUGAGCACAUCAUGGACCAGUAGCAGAAAUGAUGGAAGCCAAGUUCAAAGCUGAUGUAGUAACAAAUCUAACAAACUACAGUUUGGCUCAGUUAUACCAGAUAGCUACAGAACUGAUCGAGAAUCAUUGCAGGAACCAAGACCUCAAAAAGCACAUGAAACAGAUAGAGAAAACCUCUCUGUCCAAGUACUGCAAUGACAAACCCAAUAAAUUUGGUUGCCAUGAAAUAAGCAACUAUGCUCUUGCUCAAAGAAAUUCCAGGGCAAGAAAAGGAAAGCUUGGAUACCAUACAAAAGCAAAAGGCACCGCUUUGUCAAAAGAAGAAAAUUCCAGAAAAGAUCAGGCAGGUGUUUCAUUUGUUGAAAGAAAGGGCAUUACGCAAAGCGAUGCAAGUCAAAGAAAAAAAUUCCAGCCAAGCUUCUUCAACUCAUUGAAGAUCUUGAUUUUGAUGAUGAAUACUAUGAAUGGUUUGACAAUCCAGAGCAUGCAUUACUCGCAAUUGACUCACAGUCUCAAAAGUCUGAUACAUCCAGCGAGUCAGAUGAGCUAGAAGAAUCUUCAGACGAUGAACAAGUUCUAAAUAUUUCUGAGGAACAACUUGUUGAUCUAACAAUGCAGACAACACUAGCAUUCAGGCCAUAUGUCAAAGCCAUCCUCCAGUUAUCAGAUAACAAGCAUAUUGCUCUCACUGCCUUGAUUGAUAUUGAAGUUGUUUCUUCAAUUAUUCAUGGAAGCUGCUUACCCAGAGGCUAUCAUGUACCAAUACAAGUCAGCUUUGCAACAGCAAGUGGUGAUAAAUUUUACAGUCAUAAGUAUACCAAACCAAUUGAGCUUUUACCUUUUGGUAAAAGACAUAGUUUCUUUGCUUAUGACUCCUCAGGAGAAGAUUUACUGCUUGGAACAAACUUCCUUAGCCUCAUUGCACCAUUCACAUUCUAUCCUGAAGAAUUUAGUUAUACAAUCACCAGUCCUGUUGAUAAAAAAUCUCAUUUCCUCAUAAUUUCAUGGGUUGAGCAAUAAUCCAUUUUUGGGACGGGUGAUAAAAGGAAAAUCCAGAAAACUCCAGUCCAAAAAUUUGAGAUCUAGCACAAAGAACUUUUACAGUGCUGUGCAAACAUUCCAAACAAGUUCUGGUCUAGAGAAAAGUAUUUUGUUUCACUCCUGUACAAAGAAGGAUAGACUAUGCCACAUCAGACAGCCUCUCAUCCAGGAAUGCCUCAUGACGAAGAAUUGUGCAAAUAGGAAAUUUAAUAACUCUUGGACCUCAAGCUCAUCAGGCCCUCUAAGUCUCAUUGGGCCAACCCAGCAUUCUAUGUGAAUAAGCAUUCAGAGCAAGUACGUGGAAAGAAAAGAUUGGAGAUCGACAACAGGAAGCUGAAUGAUUGCCUAUAAGACAUUAGGUAUCCUAUACCUAGAAGAACUCAUCUUUUAAAAAAGAUAACAUCUGCUAAAGUUUAUUGAAAGGUCGAUAUGAAGUCAGGAUUUUGGCAGAUUGGGAUUAAAGAUUAGGACAUGCAUAAGACAACAUUCGUAUUGCCACAUGGACACUAUGAAUGGAACGUGAUACCAUUUGGUUUGAAAAAUGCUCUAUUAGAAUUCUAGCAUAGAAUGAAUGAAGUGUACAACCCUAUCUCAAAAAUUUUUCUGGUAUACAUUGAUGAUGAUUUGAUUUUCAGCAAUAGUGAAGAAGAGCAUGCUCAGCAUCUCUUCAGAUUCAAAGAACUAACAUACAGGCAUGGCUUAGCAUUAUCUAAAUAAAAAAUGAAGAUUGGACUUGAUGAGAUUAAUUUUUUAAGACUUCACAUCAAGGAUGGACACAUCAUCCCACAGCCACAUAUCGCAGAAAAAAAUAUCUCAGUUUCCAGAUGAGCUGUCAGGCAGAAAGCAGAUUCAGUAAUUUUUAGGGAUAAUCAAUUAUACAGCUGAUCAUAUCUAGAAUCUCUCAAAGCUGACGAGCCAGAUCUCGAGACAUCUAAAGAAGAAAUCUUCACUGUGGUCGAUAGAAGCGACAAAUGCAGUAAAGGAACUAAAGCAAAAGCGCCAGUCACUUCUACCAUUAAAGAUACUUGACAAUGGACACCUCAUCCUGCAAACAGAUGCUAGUGAUCAUUAUUGGGGUACAAUAUUGAUUGAAGAAUCUAAUGGAAACAGGAGAAUCUGUGGCUAUAAAUCGGGACAAUUCAGUGAAGCUCAGCACCACUACCCAUCCUCAAAGAAAGAAGUACUAGCAGUAAUCAAAGAAAUCAAGAAGUUCUAAUUCUUUCUUUCUCUUACUCCCUUUGUGAUCGAAACAUAUUACAAGUACCUCCAAGGGUUACCAAGUAGAAAAGAAGGAGAAAUUCUAGAUCCUCAACUAGUACGGUGGUUCGAGUCUCUAUCGAGAUUCCAGUUCAAGGUAAAGCACAUCAAAGGAGAAUCCAACACAGUUGCGGACUUCCUCUCAAGGCCAGUCAUGGUAAGUUUUCCAACAUUGUGCAACAAGUCUUCAAAGAAACCUUUGGAGUGGUAUCAAUUACCAGCUUCAGUAAAGUCACCUCCUCCAGAAUCCAGCAGAAGGUUACCACCAACAUGGUUUGAAGAACAAUUUUCCUACAGCCCUUCUGAAAUCAUUGAGAAACUCCCAGCAGACAUCAAAGAGCUGAUCUUUGAAAAAGUCACAAAUCAUCUGACUUAUCCUGCCAGCUCUAACGAUACAUAAUGGAGAGUUUGGGCACUGAUAGAUAGUAUUCACAUGCAUCUAGCAAGGAAAGUUGGAGAGAAGUUUCUACAAUUUAAACUAUUUGACCCCCAUCCAAACAUAGACUAGAUACAUGAGUUUGUCUUUCAACCCACUUUAUUCUUCCACCAUGUCAUGAAUGAAGAUUCAAAUUGGGGACAUUAUGCGAUUUGUGAUGCUACGCCACGUGCUUAUUACUCUUUUUGGUUACUCCUCAACAUGUAUCCCAUGGCUACUCUAUUCUAGCCUCAGGUCAUCCACAAAAGCCGAAGGUACAACUAUGGAGGGUGGUUCGACAUACUUUUUUCUUCCAUUUUUCAUUUGUCAGAUUAGCACAUAAAGAAUAAAAGAAAAAAUACUUUUUGAAAUUUUGACUAUAUCAAGCAAGCUGAAAGCGACAAUACAAGCCAAUGGAUAGGGUAGAAAAAAACAAGAACAUAUUGCAUAUACCUUUGUAUGUCAAUUCCAGAUCAAGCUAUAGUUGACGUAUUAGUCUACAAUAAAAUAUUUUCAACAUAUUGAACUUUGUUGAAAAUUAUUGAAGAAUUAGGUUGGAUUUGUUUGAAGGGAUUAAGGGAGCGGCAUCUAGGAGAGAAAAAAUAAUAAUAAUGUUUUAGGCUUAAGUAAGAAUUGUAUUGUAAGAUUUUGUUUUAAAUAUAAUAUAUUUAUUAAUUUAUAUUAGGUAAAAAUAAAAAAUUUACUAAUCAAUAUUUUAAUUAAUAAAAAAAUAAUUAGUAAAUAAAAAUUAAAAAAUAUUUAAAUAUAAUGGGGUUUGGGAUGGGGAGUACAAAACUAAACCCUACUCCAUUAAUAUUUUAGGGAUUUUUUUCCUUCAUUUUCCACACCAUUCUCUAAAAAUUAUUUAAAAUUCACUACAUUUGGGGUAGGUCACAUAAAGUCUUAAAUUCAUGGAGAAUUUUACUAUCCCUAAUUUCACACGAUAAGGAGCACGUUUGCUGCCAGCUUCACCAAGAUUGUGUAGCAAACGUUGUGCGCCGUCACAACAUCUAACCGUGUUGUGCACAGUGAUUGUAUCAAUUGGUUUAGUAAAAGAUAUAGUUGAAUCCAUUAGGGUUCUCAACGACAAUGAUUUAUUCGGCUGGGUUUGGUAGCUGUGGCGACUUAAAGAUUUAGGUUCUGAAAUUGGGUGAGAAUCUGACAUAGAAAUGUAUGAUGGUGUAAUAAGCUGACCAAUUAACACGAAGCAUGUAAAAUUGUUCAAAACUAUUAAAUUACCCUAAAGUUUUUAUUUGGUUUUUGGUCAGCAACUAAAUUGAGAGCCGAAUUAGAAGUUCGUCUUUUUCUCUAAUAUAACCACUUAGUCAUUUCUAAAAAUAAAAAAGUUCACUUUAAUUUUUUUUGGGAAAAGGACACAGAGACCCAUAAUGUUUGAAUAAGGGACACAGAGAUCCCUAACGUUUGAAAAAGGGACAUAAAACCCCCUAAGAUUUCAAAAAAGACACUCAGACCCCCAUUUGUUAACAUAAAUUAUAAUUUUAAAGUGUAAUUACCAUUAUACCCUUAUAGCAUAUUAAAAAAUAAUUGUUCAUUGUCCAAUUUAUUCGUAUAUUAUUAAUAAAAUUACGAAUAUAACUUCAUUAUCCAAUUUUUUCAUUUAAUUUUUGUCAAAUUUUCUCUUCAACUAAAUAAAUUUAAUUCAUUGCUCAAGAAUAAAAAUAAAUUAAAUUGAUUACUAAUAUAAUAAAAAUAACAAUUCUCAAUAACAAUUCUUCAUUUAAACUUAUAUAAUCAACAAAAUUAAAAAAAAUUGGUUACAACAAUAAUUACAAAAUCUUAAUUGUACUAAAUAAAAUGGAAAAAUUGGGUAAUGAAGUUAUAUUCAUAAUUUUAUUAAUAAUAUAGAAAUAAAUUGGACAAUGAACAAUUAUUUUUUAAUAUGCUAUAAGGGUAUAAUGGUAAUUGCACUUUAAAAUUAUAAUUUCUGUUAACAAAUAGGGGUUUUAGUGUCUUUUUUGAAACCUUAGGGGGUUUUGUGUCCCUUUUUCAAACGUUAGGGGUCUCUGUGUCCCUUAUUCAAACAUUAGGGGUCUCUGUGUCCUUUUCCCUUUUUUUUUUUUCAUUUACAUGGUUUUUUUCCCACACCUAACAUUGACUGGUGCUUAUAUUUGAUGUCAGUUGCUUGGAUAAUUGUUCUUGAAAUAUGUUUAUAUAGUAUAGAAAUAAUUUUAUUAAAUUAAUCGUGUAUUAUAAACUUCUAUAUGUUUAAAUUUUGUAAUUAAUUCAGUUAGUAGUAGUUUUUUACCUUUGUCUUUUGCGGUAAUAUAUUUUUAUAUAGGCUUUUGGUCAAUGAUGGAAAACACAUUAUAUGGAAUGGUAGCAUAGAUAUUCAUUUUCAGCCUCCAAAUUUAUCAUUACCUUUGUAAUCAUUUCAUCAUCAUCAUAAUUACCAUUCUCUCUCUUUCCUUUCUUUCUUUCUUUUUAGUAUCUUCUUGUCAUAAUGCUUGUACAGGCUCUUAACAAAUCCAACUAGCUAAACCAUCAAUGCCCCACAUAGCUAUGAGAUCUAAAAGACAUUAAUUUUUUAUUUAUUUCAUCUAAUUUGGGUGUCAUUUCAUUUAGGGGUGGGCAAAUUCGGUUUGGAUCGGUUUGAGACAUAUUCUCAAACCGAUCCAAACUUAUCGGUUUGAAAUAUUUUUAAACCGAUAUCAACUUAAAAUUUUUUCAAACCGAACCGAUCCAAACCGACUGGAUCGGUUUGGAUCGGUUUGGAUCCUCGGUUUGAGCUUAUUAGCUAAAAGCCCACUUCUUUUAUAUUAUUUUACCUAAAUUAUUUGUUAUUUUGUAGUGUCUGUAAUUUAAAUUGAUACAUCUUUUAUAUUAUUCAUAUCUACUUUGAUAUCUACAUAACAAUUCAAAGAUACAUCCAUACAAGUUUAUAACAUAAUACACCAUAAUAAAGAAGUUAUUAACAUGUUCAUUGAUUCAUUCAAAACAAACUCACAAAAUUAAAAUAAACUUGAACAACAUUUGACAAUUAAAAUAUUGUGCAUCUUGUCCGUCAAAACUUAUGGCCCAAUUACUUUUGAUUUGUCAAAAUCUGCAUAAAAUGAUAAAUAUAAUUAGUUAGAUUGCUUAACUUAGAAUAUAAUGUAAUUAUAUAAUAUAAUUAUAUAAUAUUUCUGGAUUGGAUCGUACUUUUGAUUUGUCAAAAUCUGCAUAAAAUGAUAAAUAUAAUUAGUUAGAUUGCUUAACUUAAAAUAUAAUAUAAUUAUAUAAUAUUUCUGGAUUGGAUCGGUUUGAAUCGGUUUGGAAUCCUUCCAAACCGAAAUCCAAACCGAAUGAUGUCGGUUUGCAAUCCAAUAAACCGAAACCAGUUUUUUUACUAAUGAAACCGAUCCAAACCGAUCCAAAUGAUCGGUUUGGAUUAGUUUGGAUCGGUUCGGUUAAAAUAUGCCCACCCCUAAUUUCAUUGCCUUCUGACUAUUUCCUAACUGUCAUUGUUUUUAGUGCAUGUUGACAACUUAUAAUCGUUUCCUUCUUACAAAAUAUAUAUUUCUUAAUGUUUACGUAAAAGGGUAUAAUGUACCCAUUAUAUUGGUCGUUCUCUCCUUCAGACAAUAUCACUGCAUAUGCCGAUUCCUAUUUCAGUUCCAUGUCUCUAGCUUAAACUGUACAGUUUUUACAAUGAUAGAAACUUAUUCAUUUUGGUCAGUGCAUUGAUUUUUGUUAUAAGCCUCCAUUAUCACUUCUCCACCUCCCCCGGUUAUUGUUGUUAUUGUUUUUCAUUGUGCACGUUAUUAUUGGAGAUAUGGAUUAGCUGUUAAUGAGAAUCAUGUACUUCAUUUCACUAUAAAAAUUGACUUAUGAGAUCUGAUUCUUCAAUGAGUCCUUUUGUUACCUUUUUUUUUCCUCUUUCAUUCUUUCUUUCUUUUUUUCUUUUAUGUUUAUGUUGGGUUGAUUUGUUUUUCUUUUUCUACUCCUUAUAUUAGCAUGUGAACAUUAAGUCAUUAACAUAGCAUAGAACUUAGAACUUUUGUUAUGCAAUAUUGGGCCCUUGAGAGUUUCAGAGUUCUCUACCCUUAACAAUUUGUGUUUUAGAGUAUAAUAACCUGAUGAGUAAAAUUGAUUAUAUGUUACUCAAAAGAUAUAUAGUGAGAGUAAUUUUUUUUUUCUUUUUGGCGGGUUUUUCCAAAUUGGCUCUAUUAUUCUUGCUCUACAUGAUGUGAGUGAUGUUUUUAUGGAGGCUGCCAAAGCUUUUAAGAAUUCUCAUUCUAAGAAUGAACUUGGAGCAACUGUGAUCUUUGGAUUAUUUGCAAUAUCUUGGGUCAUUCUACGAUUAAUAUUCUUCCCAUUUUGGGUCAUCAAAUGUUAAGAUUUGCCUGCAUGAUAAAUGAUUUUGUUAGCCUAAAGGGCUACACAUACACUACAAGAAAAUAAACAAUAGAUGACGGAUAAUUUAUGACAGAUUAUAGGUAUAUCAUAAAAUUACUACAGAAUUAUGAUAGAAUUUUUAAUCUAUCAUAGAUUUAUGGUGGGCUUCUGAUAGAAAUAUUUACUAUCAUGAAUUUAUUAUGGUUUUAUGAUAGGAUUAUUUUUUACCAUGAAAUUAUGAUAGAAUUGUAAUAGAAAUUUAUUCUAUCAAAAACGUAUGAUAGAAAAAUGAUUUUGACCAAAUUUGAUGUAUUAUAUUAUUUAAAAAAUAAAAGAUGUGUUUUAAUAAUUAAAAAAAAUGCCACCAAAACGCUACCGUUUUAGCAACUUAAAGCUUUUUUUCUUUUUUCUAAGUGUUAAACGUUAUAACGCUACUUAGAAAUCAAAAUCCCUAAACGCUACUUUUCUUCCUCCUUCUCGCCAUUCACAAACCCUCUGUCUGAAACCCUUAUUCUUGCCGUCCUUCUACCGUUCACAACUGUCGUUGCCAUCAUACUUGAUUUCUUCUUGCUUAGUUUCACUUUGGCCUCUAAUACGAUCUGUCUCCUUCACUUUGUUUCACUCUAUCUCCUUGGCUUUUAGAUCGGAAUGGACGUUGACUUCUCCCUCCUCCCUGCCACCACCACUGUCCGUUCCUCCUCCUCCUCCGGUGGUUGCACUGAUAUUCUUGGCCGGAGUAACACCCCUUCCUUCUCUUAUUUCAAAGACUGAAAGUUUAAUUACAGAGCCGAUCUAAAAGCCAAGGUGAGCCUUUUUCUUGUCAAUUUCGUUUGGUUUGAUUCAUACCCUUUAUGGGUUUUUGAAGAUUAAAUCUUUGAUGGGUUUCUUUUUUGUUUUUGUAUUUAUUAUAUAGUAGACACAUUAUUGUGUUUUUGUUUUUGUUUUUUUUCCUUUUUGUUUUUCUUUGUCUGGUAUAAGUUAUUUUCCUAAAUUUUUGGACGAUUGUAAUUAGUGGGUCUAUUUCAGUUUUUGGAUCUUGCUUCUUGAAUAUUCAAAGUUGCGUUUUCUUUCUUUUUUGUUUUGGUUGAAGAAAUUUGAUUAUGUUUCACUUCUGUGAUUAAGUUAAGUUUCUUCUAUUAGCUUUAUUUACUCCAUAAUUUCUUUUUUACUAAGUAUUUGCAAAUGAAUAUUCCAUUUUACUUUCACUAUUUUAUUUUAUUUUAUUUUUGCUCUUUUUAACGUUUAGUCAAUUAUUCUCAUCUAUGGAGUUUUAAACGUUGGUAUGUGCUUAAGCAUUAAAUGCAGAUGUGGAAUGGAAGUGUGCUGAUUUACAACAUAUUUUAAUGAUAUAUCUCAUACAUGAAACAUAAUUUUCUAAGGAAAUUCUUAAAUUUACUUGUAGAAUGAGUUAUGAUUCAUAAAUCUGGAGUACGUAGUAAUUGAUGUCCCUGAAUGUAAUGGAAUUCAAUAGAAAUUAUACUGCAGGCUGAGGAGUUUUUAAAUCAGGCUGUGAUCAAUGACGUUACUAUGUUUUUUUUUCCCACUCAAUAGAGAAAUUUAAAAUCUGUUUCUUUUGGAUCAUUUUAAAUUUGCUAAAUUUCAGGUAUUGGCACCAAUUCAUGUACUCUUCCUAUUGGUUUGACCUUGUCUAGAUAUGUAUUACAACAAGCACUUUUGCUGGCCUUGAAUAGACCAUAUGCAGGAUCACAAGGUUAUUGGUAUUUCUAAUUUUUUUCCUUUUUGUGGAGGGGAAGGCUACCUCACAACAAGCACUUUUGCUGGCCUUGGAUAGACCAUAUGCAGGAUCACAAGGUUAUUGGUAUUUCUAAUUUUUUCCUUUUUGUGGAGGGGAAGGCUACCUCUCCUGCUGUAUCCAAAGUCUUUGAGUCAAUUUCGGUGAGAUCUGCUUCCUCAAUUACUUGUAAUAAUUAGGACUUUUCACUUUUAUUUUUCAAAUAUCCAUAGCCAUGAACUAUAACUUAUAUGUUUGCAGGGGGUAAAGGUUAUAUACAGAACAAGAGAACUAGAGGAACAACAAGUCAAAAGGUCAGUGUAUACUGAUAUUCGAUUUAAAUGGUCAAUGUUGAUAGAGAUUAUUUAUUUUUAUUUUUAAUUAUGCAUAGUUUUAUCCAAUUUCUAAUUGUUUCAACUAAGAUGCAACACACUUUGUUUUGAGUUUCUUAUGUGCAUACACAGAGUUUUAAAACUGUGAUGUAAAUGUGAAGAGUUUAUGGCAUUGGGUUGGGGGUGAGGGGUUUAAAUUUUGUUGCAAGGUCAUUCAGUUUUGUUUGUUUAUUACCUGAGAUAGCUGCUAUAAGAUGUACCUAGCAAUAUUGAUCUGGUAGUCUUCCUUAAUUAUGUGAGUGGAUCUGUACUUAUUACACGAAUAAAAUCUCAUUAGUAUAUUUUGGUGCUAAAAGAAUGUCACACUCUUUAUUUUGAUGGUCCCUUUGCAUUGUCACGUUGACAUGAACGAUAAUCAUGCAAUAUAAUUUGUUUCAGGAG
rnacentral:lncRNA from 1 species